AUAUAAAAAUGGCUGCUUUUUCUCAGACCUGUGGUCCACUGUGGCCAGAACAGCGUAAGUGCAUAUGCAUAUAAUAUUUCUUUUGGUAUAUCCUUCCAGCAAUCUAUUAUGUAGGAACUUAUGAGCCAAAGGGAACACAUUUGUUAAUGGCCCUUGAUGGAUUUUUCCUCUGUGAAUUUAUUGAGUUGAACAUAUGUAUGCUCAUGACUUCCACAGUAUAACGUAGGAAUGACUUCCACUGUUUAACAUGUUGUGUGAUGGAAAAAUGUCUCUGUUUUCAUACUUUUUCGCUUGCUGCUUAGCUGCCUCUUGACCUGAUGCCUGACCUGCCCUUGGAUGCCCAGGAUAUGAAAGAUUUCUGCCCGAGUCUGCCCUGGUCUCCUUUCUUCCACUCUGAGAUUUCCCACAUAGAUGCCGAAAAGAUUUUCUUCUUGUAACCUUGAACCCUUCCACAAGCCCAUCUCCAUGCCCACAUUAGUAAGCCUGAGCUUAUGGUCCAAUGGAUGGAUUUUGAACCAUCCCCAACACAUCCUCAGUCCUGCUCUUCCCAGUAAGCCCCGAGAGCACCGUCUCUGUGUUGUCCCUGCCAGUUUACAGACCUAAGGCACAGCCUUGGAGAGGGGAGCCCAGCAGGAGCAGAGCAGCAAGCCAAAAGCAAAAUCAUCCCCACGAUCUUACUGUCGGGCUUACUGCAUGAAGAAACCCAACACACAAACCAGGUAAGUAAGCAAAGCACAAACAUCACAGUGCCUCUUUUGUACUGCUCCACGUAUGAGCAGUGGCAGAGGUAAAAUACGUGACCCUGUGCUUUGUUUUCCUGUGCCACAGAAUUUAAGCAACAUAGAGAAAUGUGCCUGUGGUACAAAUAUAAGCUUUGUUUGUUUUGUUUUGUUUUUAAGGGAGUGACUUUAAUAACUUCAUAACAAUCAUGUUUAUAGUUUGAUGCAUUGGAGUAGGAUUGAUCCCAGCACUGGAUUUCCUGCUGGACAAGGAGGGCCCUCGUUCCUGGCUUUCUGUGCUUUAUAGCACCUGGGCUUCACUCUGCCUCCUUGACGGAAGGUGCCAGCUGCAGCUGGGAUUAAUGCAGCCUUGGCUAGCUGCUGGCAGAGCCUAUGAAUCCUCCUUGAAGGUCUCAUAUUGUGGAAUUUUUCUGUCUGCAACAUCAUGUCACCUGUACAGGACUUAAAACCCAAUGACACAGAAGUCUGAUUUGAUGUGGCAAAUCCUGCAUGGAGCUUGAUAUUGAGAAAUUAGUGGUGCUUAGGAUCUUAGGUCAGAAAUAAAGGUUGCAUUUUACAAUUGAAUGGUCCCUGA
rnacentral:lncRNA from 1 species